AAAUUCACAACAUAAUUUAUAUCCUUCUUAAUCAAAGUUCAUAACAUCGUAAUCAUAAUAAGUGUGGACCAAUUUUGUUAACAUUAGCAUUUCAACAAUUCAACUUUACGCGAAACAAAGACAAACAAGAUUAAAACGAUUCAAUAAUUAUAGAAAAUAAACAUUUACUCAAAAUAUUCCUUUCACCUUCAUUUACCUUAGAAGAAAAUAAAUCAAC
rnacentral:lncRNA from 1 species